rnacentral:misc_RNA from 1 species
GAUGAAGAACGUAGCGAAAUGCGAUAAGUAAUGUGAAUUGCAGAAUUCAGUGAAUCAUCGAAUCUUUGAACGCACAUUGCGCCCCUUGGUAUUCCGAGGGGCAUGCCUGUUCCAGCGUCAUUAUAACCCUCAAGCUCAGCUUGGUGUUGGGGCCUGCUGCACUGGCAGCCCUUAAAAUCAGUGGCGGCGCCAUCUGGCUCUAAGCGUAGUAAUUCUUCUCGCUAUGGAGUCCUGGUGGAUGCUUGCCAUCAACCCCCAAUUUUUCUAUGGUUGACCUCGGAUCAGGUAGGGAUACCCGCUGAACUUAAGCAUAUCAAUAAGCGGAGGA